rnacentral:rRNA from 1 species
GCGAACGCUAGCGGCGGGCCUAACACAUGCAAGUCGAGCGGGGAGCAAUCCCAGCGGCGGACGGGUGAGUAACACGUAGGUAAUGUGCCUCAAGGUGGGGAAUAACACCGGGAAACCGGUGCUAAUACCGCAUAUGUCGAGAGAUGAAAGCAGCAAUGCGCCAUGAGAGCAGCCUGCGUCCGAUUAUUUAUUCCUAGUUGGUGAGGUAAUGGCUCACCAAGGGUACGAUCGGUAGCUGGUCUGAGAGGAUGAUCAGCCACACUGGAACUGAGACACGGUCCAGACUCCUACGGGAGGCAGCAGUGGGGAAUAUUGCGCAAUGGGCGAAAGCCUGACGCAGCAACGCCGCGUGAGUGAGGAAGGUUUUCGGAUCGUAAAGCUCUGUCGGGUGGAAAGAAAUGCAUGGGAGCCAAUACCGCUCAUGCUUGACGGUACCACCAAAGGAAGCACCGGCUAACUCCGU